CAUGGGAGUUACUGUCAAAAUAUGACAC
rnacentral:piRNA from 1 species